rnacentral:rRNA from 1 species
UACAGAGGUCUCAAGCGUUGUUCGGAUUCAUUGGGCGUAAAGGGUGCGUAGGCGGCGCGGUAAGUCGGGUGUGAAAUCUCGGAGCUUAACUCCGAAACUGCAUUCGAUACUGCCGUGCUUGAGGACUGGAGAGGAGACUGGAAUUUACGGUGUAGCGGUGAAAUGCGUAGAUAUCGUAAGGAAGACCAGUGGCGAAGGCGGUUCUCUGGGCCUGACCUGACGCUGAGGAGCGAAAGCGUGGGGAGCGAACAGG